GCAGUGAUGUGGAGCAAAACCCGAAAAAGCAGCUUAGUUCGGAUUGUAGGCUGCAACUCGCCUACAUGAAGUCGGAAUUGCUAGUAAUCGCGGAUCAGCAUGCCGCGGUGAAUACGUUCCCGGGCCUUGUACACACCGCCCGUCACACCAUGGGAGUCGGUAACACCCGAAGCCUGUAGUCUAACCGCAAGGGGGACGCAGUCGAAGGUGGGAUUGAUGACUGGGGUGAAGUCGUAACAAGGUACC
rnacentral:rRNA from 1 species